CACUCGAUUUCACCAAGGGGAACUGGAAAGAUGUGGAAAGUGCUGGGGUUUCCCCUUCCAAGCCCCGGUCAGCCUGGAGCCGCAAGGCGACAUCAUAAUAAUCACCGCCAUUUAAUGGAUAGUGCCUAAGUGCCAAGGACUCCCACAGGUUAUCCAGUGUCAGCGAUCCCUUCCCAGCCAGCCAGAGAGCUCUUUAAGUUCACGGACAGGCUCCCAUGUCCUGACUUCUCCCCAUACUCCCUGCAGUGUACUGCCUCAGGAUCCCCACUUGGAAACCCAAGAGGCAUCCCCAACUACCAUGCCCAACGCCGAACUUCUGGAUCUCCCCAAACCUUCUCCUCGCAUGCUUUUUCUCGUGGCAGAAGUGGCAACCCCAUCCUUCCCGUAAGUCCGUCCAAAACUCUGAUAUUAUCAUUCCUCUUCCCCUUGCCUCAUUUGCUGUAUCGAAUCCACCCGAUCUACCUUCAAGCAGAUCUGGGGUCUGCCUACUUCUCACCACCUCUGCCGUUGCCCCCUGACCUGCGCCCCAUUCUCUCCUGCCUGGGUCACUGUGAUUGCCUCCCGACCGGUGGCCCGGCUCCUGCCCCGUGAAGUCUGUCUCCCCACCCAGCAACCAGAGUGAUCCUAGGAGAAGCAGGGCUCUGCCGCUUGUGAGCACCUGCCCCCAUCUGCUGAGAGUGUGUCGACCACACGUAAGAGGAUCCCUGGGGGACACCUGGCUGGCUCAGUCAGUACAGCAUGCAACUCUUGAUCUAAGCCUCGCGAGCUCCUGCCCCAGCUCUUCUGUCCGAUCUCAGGCUUCCUCCCCCGUGACCACGACCGUGUGACCAUGACGGCUCUGCUCUGUGGCAGCUGACCUUUCUGACCACUAUCUAACACCCCCUCUGUCUUCCUCUGGUCUCGCUGACAUAUUCUCUCCAGCCCUUCCCACUCACCCUUCCAACACCCUCCACUCACUCUCCCAGACCACGCUUUCAACUCUCCGUCCUUCCCACCCUCCCCCAGCUGCCCUUUCUCUCCCAGGACUUAACCAGGACGCCCAAGACUGCAUUCAGCGAACACUCUUCUGAGUCCUGGACCAAUAAAAGCCCUGACCUCCCAACACUUCCUCAGAUGCCAGAUGUCACAGCCCGAUGUCAUCCUCUUUCUCCCCAGGCAUCCCCGUCCCCCUGGUUGCUAAGGCAGAAGUGUCCGAUGCAUUCAGAUGCCCCCCACGGCUUCCCAGCCUCCCUCCCAAGACCUUCUAACCUGUCUCUGGAGCCUCUCCUACCACUUAAAUGGCCCUCUCCCAGAGCAGCCCCACCCCUCCUCAGUUCCGGCCCUAAUUUCCUCUCACCAGACCCUUUCUCCACCGAGUGGCCCGAGUGACGGCUUUAAACACAAAUUGGAUCAAGACACCACCUGCUCGAAACCCUGCACAGCUCCUCAUGACUCUCUGGUGCAGUGCACAUCCCUUACUUAGCCCGUGGACUCACGACGGAGCCCUCCUCUGCCCCUCCGUCUCCCACCCCUUCCAACUCUCCCCUAUCUAGUCUGUCUUCCAGGUUUUCAAAAUAGUUUCAUUGAAGUGUAAUUUAUAGGUAAUAAAACUCACUCAUCCUAGGUGUGGAGCUUGAUGGAUGUGGAUAAUUGUGUACAGUUAUAGGCACAUGGCGGUUGCCCUAAAGGUCCCCUGAGUCCCUUUGCAGUCACUCUCCUAGCCCCAGGCAGCCACUGAUUUGCCUUAUGUCACUAUCGCUUUGUCUUUUCCAUAAUUUUAUAUAAAUGAAAUUACUGUUUGUAAUCUC